AUGCUAUGGGCACUUACUCAACAUGUCCUUGUAUCUCUCCCACGUAUCAUAGAUAGUCUCAAACUCCAACUGCCUAUAGGAAGAGAUAUCACUUCUAAGCUU